GUACACCCGUUCGGUGUGAAAGUGUUGAUUCGAAUUUGUACUCCCACUCCCACCCACGGACCCACCCCACCGCAUUCCCGUCUCAGGGUAUAACGCUUUAACUCGUCUCCCUAAUCCCCCUAUCAACCAAAACCCUCACCGCCGAUUCCUCUUCGCGGUAGUGACGGCGAUGGCUCUCCCAAUUUUCUUCACAACCUGACCAUUUCCACUUCGGUAAACCCACCUUCCCUUCUCUCCUCGUUCCUUGUUUGGUUCUUGGUUCUACUAGCGCUUCUGGUACUGGGUGGUGGCGGCAUGUCGAAGGUUAAACCUGAUGCCAAUCCGCAGGUGAAGAAGAAAGCCAACAUGCCGCAGGUGAAGAAGAAAGCCAACAUACCACAGCAGAAGAAGAGUAAGAUGAAUGCGGAAUCGGGGUGUGCACCUGUAUCAGUAACAAAGUUAAUCCAACUCCUUCUAGAUGCUGCUCAUUAGAAAAUUGUAGACCUUGAUUUCGAGAACUUACUCAAUCUGAAGUUAGGAAACACCAACAGAGAUUUUACCCACUUUCUCAUGGAUAGAGCUAAAGUUCAUGAAAAUAUAGAUCAAAUUGAGAUCUACAUUAGAGAAGGUGUUUCAAUAUAGAGAACAAAGGCUGUAGUGCAAAAAUGUUUUGAGUUUCCCCCUGGUACAGAUAAGAACCUACCAACAGAUUCAACUUCAGAAACAUUUGACUCACUCUACAAAGUAUUGAGUGUUGUAGAAGAAAAAUUCAACGAAAAGAAGAAGAAGAGGAAGGAGAAGAAGGAGAAGGAGAAGCAGGUUCAGGUUGAGGAGGAGAAGAUGGAGAUGGACAUGGGGAAGGAGAAGCAGGUUCAGGUUGAGGAAAAAUUCAAUGAAAAGAAGAAGGGGAGGAAGGAGAAGAUGGAGAAGGAGAAGCAGGUUCAGGUUGAGGAGGAAGGUAGUGAAGAGGCGGAAAGUGGAGAUGAGGAAGGUGCUGAAGAGGGGGAAAAUAGCAAGGUUUCUGUCAGAAGAAAUAUUUUGACUCCUUUGAACAUCAAUUUGAUGUUAGAGAACAUCGACAAGGAUGAGAUUCUCAAACUUCUUGUUAAAGAAAAUGAAGACACUAAUGGUACCGAACCGAGUCUUGACAUUGACCUAAUUGUCAGAUGUUUCUUUGUGGUGGUGUUGGACAGACUGCUGUUGCCACAAACCACCUUUUAUCUGAGCUCAGGUACAUUGGAAGCAGUGACUGAUCUAGACAAACUGAAAACCGUUGACUGGUCACAUUUGAUUUUCGAAAAUUUGAAGAGCAGUGUUGCUGAGUGUCCCAAGGAUAAGACGAACUUAUAUCAGGGUGUACAAAUGUGCUAAUGGUUGUUUUCUUGGACCAUCUCAUGGAAAACCCUUUGGAUCCUUAGACCAUCCCUAGGAUCAACUUGUAUACUUCAGAUUUAAUCGCGGACCUGAUAAUGGUACCCAAGGAUAGCCCUGGCCCUGAAAAGAAGCAUCGUAAGACUCAAAAGAUAAAAAAGAAGACUAGUAGUGUUAUGAAGGAUCUCGCUACUCUCAAUUUUAAGAAUUCGAAGGAUACAUGCUAUCAUGCAGAUUCAGAAAGGGUGCCAAGUUCAGGGAGAGCAUCGCCGGUUGUUGCUUCUGUACAAUCUCAUAAGAACUUUGUUGAUCAUGAAGAUUCAGAAAUGGUGCAAUCUCAUGAGAACUCUGCUGAUCUACAAAGUGUUUACACAGCACAUGUAUUGGAAAGAACCAGAGAAAGCAUAGUAGUGGACAUAUUGGACUACAGUAUACCUGAAUCUACUUUUGCAGAUUGUUUGCAACCUGUAGGUCAUAUGCACACAGAUGUAUUUUAUUUACAAUGAAAACUGUUGUCAAAGGAUUGGAAGGAUAAAGUAAUUCUUAGCUAGAAAGCUAAUGUAAGUGUAUCCAAAAACUUGGCUUGGAGACUUUUUUUAUGUUAUUAUUAUUUAUCUUUGACUGCUAGCAUUUUAAUAACCCAGCAAGAACUGAUUCAUCAAGGUAUUGAAGUUAAGCAGCUGGACAGGGAACUUACUGCAGAGAUUAUGGAGAAAGUGGAUCUGGUUUGUGCUUUGUUUUAUAUUACAGUAGAGUUUUUUCAGAUUGACAGUAGAGUUUGUGCUUUUUUCCAGAUAUUUAUUCCUAUCAUUCAUGCCCAUCACUGGUCCCUUGUUGUUCUUUCCACUGGCAAACAAGAGAAAUAUAUCCUUGACUCCUACCCAGGGUGCAGUGGAUAGGUGGCCAAGGAUGUUUUAACUCAACUGCAGAAGUAUUUGAAUAAUAAACACAACUUUAACAUGUCUGACUACACUGAACAUGUGCCACCUGUUCAGCCUCAAAAAAACAAUUACGAUUGUGGCUUUCAUGUUUUAUUGUAUAUUGAAGAAUUCAUGAAGGAGAAGAUGUAUAAAAUCAACAGAAAAAUGGUGUUGAAAUUCAUAAAGCAGCUUUGCAUGAAUCUUCUGUACCAUCUUUUGAACAGAAUAAAUCUUGUGGAAUU